UUAAAACACAGAUGUGCAUUGUGAUCGUC
rnacentral:piRNA from 1 species